UACGUAGGGGGCAAGCGUUAUCCGGAUUUACUGGGUGUAAAGGGAGCGUAGACGGCGAUGCAAGCCAGAUGUGAAAGCCCCGGGGCUCAACCCCGGGACUGCAUUUGGAACUGUACUAGCUGGAGUGUCGGAGAGGCAGGCGGGAAUUCCUAGUGUAGCGGCGGAAAUGCGGUAGAUAAUUAGGAGGAACACCAGUGGCGAAGGCG
rnacentral:rRNA from 1 species